rnacentral:lncRNA from 1 species
GGUUAAAUACCUGUGUGUGCUCCACAGGCCAUAGGCUCCAACCCGCCAUUCCAGGCUCCCUUCUGUACCCCUGGACAAGAACUGAAGCCAGGCUCUGCUCCUCCUCCCUCAGGACACCUCCACCCCUGCUCCUUCCAGAGCCAGAGCACCAGAGACUUGCCCCUCCUUCCCCAGCUGGCCUCAUUGCACCCUCUUUCUCACACCCCCACCUCUGCCACCCAGGGCAUCUUUCCUACAUGUUUCAGGCUUGAUCUCAUUCUGUGGUUUUCACCCAAACAUGUAGCUCUGCCAGUGGAUGCUCCCUCCCAUCUCCUGCUCUCUGUCCCACUGGUAAUACAGACUCAUGACUAAACACUCUACCUCCUGAAAUCCAGUCAGCAGCCUACUAAGUGCCUGUCAUGGCAAAGCUAGCUUACAGGCAUUUCAAACAUCCCCCAGACUGGACGGCUGCAGGGACCACAUUCUCCCUGCCUCCUCCCAGGAGCUGGGAAGAAAUACUUAGCUAAGCCACUUGGGUGAAGGUGGAGGUAAAACCAGAGAAACUCUUGAUGCUUAAGUAAUGUCAGAUGGACCCCUAAAUCCCUCUCAAGGGAAUGUGGGCCCCAUGAAGCCUGGGGAUCCCAUGUCACAGAGAGGAGAAAGUGAGUCUGGGUCCACAUAUGAGAUGUAGCGCCCUGGCCCCACCUAAACACAAGGGACAACCUCAAACAGGCCCAGACUUCUGAGAUGAUGGGCUUUGUGACAAUGUGCUCCAGUUGUUAGAGGCAAGGUGGCCUUUCUUAGAAACUGCCGUGGAGUCUUCAGAAAGGGAACCACUUUUUCAUGGGAGAAAGCUAACCAGCCAGGACCAGAAGAGUCUGGCACCCAAUUUUACUUCACACUGCACUGGGUGUGCGUUACAGUCACCUGAGUUUAGGUGCCAAGCCUUUUCACUUUAAUCAAUUGUUAUGUAAAACCUCUGGAUGAAUACACAAGAAACUGACAACAUGAGUCACUUCUGGAAAGAGGAACUUCAGUGUCUGCAGGAGCCUGGGCACACGCCUGUAAUCCCAGAGACUUGUUAGGAGGAGGCAGGAAGAUCAUAAAUCUAAGACCAGCCUCAACCAUUUAGCAAGAUCCUUAGCAACUUAGUGAGACCCUAAUUCAAAAUAAAAAUUUUUAAAAAGUCUAGAGCUCAGUGGUAAAGCAUCCCUGGGUUCAGUUCCCAGUAUCAAAGAAGAAAAGGUCUAGGGAGAGGGUAGGAGAGGAACUUAUCUCACCAUUUGCAUUUUCAGAAUUUUGUACUAUAUGCAAACAUUACUCAUUUUUAAAAAAUAUUUUAUGAUUCAGUUGACCAAAAACUGAAAAAAGGAAAAUCCUUGAACUAUCACUUCUCUAGGAAUAUCUAUUUAGAAAAACAAGAUACCCUCUUCCUUAGGAAUGCAAUUGACCCAAUGAUAAGCCAGCCAGCGUCCCCCCAAAGGUUCUAGAGGCUCCACCCAACUCGGAGGCCAAGUUCCAGGUAGGAACCUUUCUGACCAGCAGCUUACCUCGACAGAGAAGUCAAGGUGCAGGGAACAUGGGGACAUCUCAGCAGCUAUUGUUUCUUUGGAGUCCACAGUGUCUUCAACAACCUCUGAUGAUUGGCUCAUCAAACAUGCCCAAGUUGCUGAGAUGUAGAUAUUAAAGUCCAAGGUCGAAAUCAUUUCUGAUAUAGCCAGGGAGAAGUGGAGUUUUCAUCAAGCAUAGAAUUAGAUUUAACUCUGGAUGGACUGAACUGGGUAACCUUGGGCAUGCCCCAUCCUCUUUUUAGAAAACAAGAAGCUG